AUACGGGGGGAGCAAGCGUUGUCCGGAAUCAUUGGGCGUAAAGGGCACGUAGGCGGUUUCUUAAGUCGAAUGUGAAAUCUCACGGCUCAACCGUGAAACUGCGUUCGAAACUAAGUGACUUGAGUUUGGGAGAGGUGUACGGAAUUCCUGGUGUAGCGGUGGAAUGCGUAGAUAUCAGGAAGAACACCAAUGGCGAAGGCAGUACACUGGCCUGAAACUGACGCUGAGGUGCGAAAGCGUGGGUAGCAAACAGGAUUAGAAACCCCAGUAGUCC
rnacentral:rRNA from 1 species